rnacentral:rRNA from 1 species
ACUGAGACACGGCCCAGACUCCUACGGGAGGCAGCAGUAGGGAAUCUUCCGCAAUGGGCGAAAGCCUGACGGAGCAACGCCGCGUGAGUGAUGAAGGUUUUCGGAUCGUAAAACUCUGUUAUUAGGGAAGAACAAAUGCGUAAGCAAUUGUGCGCAUCUUGACGGUACCUAAUCAGAAAGCCACGGUAAACUACGUGCCAGCGGCGGGGGAAAUACGAAGGGGGAAGGCGUUACCCGAAAUUAUGGGCCGAAAGGGGGCGAGCGGUUUCCUUAGGUCUGUGUGAAAGCCCACGGUUAACCCUUGGAGGGCCUUUGGAACUGGGAAAUUGGAGUGCGGAGGAGGAAGUGGAAUUCCAGGUGUAGCGGUGAAUGGGCAGAGAUAUGAAGAACACCAGUGGCGAAGCGACUUUCUGGCUGUACUGACGCUGAGGUGCGAAGCGUGCGGAUCAA